ACAUAUUUAUUACUCUUUUUACAAGCUAAAAGCUCAAGUGGAGCGAUCUAUGGGCUUCUUGCAGUUUACCAACACGACAAUGGCCGAAUUGUCUGUAUAAAAUAUUUUUUAUUGGCUCAUACAUCCAAACCUGCCAUGUCUUUGGUUUUAAAAAUGGCGUAUACAAGCUUUUUGUUUGCCGGUUUACGCUGUUGAAUAGCCCCCAAGAGCCCGCGCGUAAUCGAGGCGAGUGGUAAACGUCGUGAAUAUGAAAUUGAAGUACAUGUGUAGGUAUAUAAUCAACAGUAUGGACCCCGUGAACGAAUUUUCGUAGCGUUAUGGUGAAUUAGAAUGGUGCCUGUGGCUCGUCAAUCUUGCACGUCGUCAGGUUACCAGUUCAUAACGUAAAUAUCACCCAGCGAGCAUUUUAUAUUUCAGAUAUGACAGCGUCGCAAAACAGUAGAUAAUGGAGAGCUCGGAAGACGAUGCGGGCGCCGCGACGAACGCUUCCCGCCGAGCAUCGGCGCGGGAAAAGGACGUCGGAGCGUGCGAGGAUGGCGGUGCAAGCGGUGCGAUGCUGCAGGUCCCAGCGGAAGCCGGCGGAACCAGCGAAACCGCUUCCGUAUCGGAGGAAGCGUUUGACGCCGACAGCGUGCCGUCGCCGUCCGCGCAAGAUGUCAACACCAGCACCGAGGCUAUCCUCGACAUGAUCGAUGAGAUCGUAGACGGCCCCGAUGCCCCCAAGAGACUAUCGCGUGGCUCGGCAGAUGCUGACGCCGACGACAUGUGCACUGCUUCCGACGUCCCUGCCGGUGUCCCCCAACCAUUGUCGAGUGACACUGAUCCCCAAACAUCUUGUACACAAACAUCAACAUCUGAAAGUGACACCAAAGGAAGUGAAAAAUCAAGUGAUUCUCCAUCUGACUGUGUAUCACAUAGUAAGGCAAUAGCAAGUGAUGUUUAUAUAGGAAACUUAUCAGAAGAAAAAAGUGAGUUAAAAGUUGAAAAUGCAUCUGUCACAUCUGCUAAUGAUGGGAACUCUACAGAAGUGUCACAGAAGAGUCCUAUAGGUAGUCAAGCUGAAUGCACAUUGAAAAGCAAUUUAACUGAGUGUGACACAGGCGUGGAACCAGUGACAACCAAGAAUGCACAAUUAGAUAAUCCACCACAUCAAGCAGAUCUGCCAAAUGCUAUCAGUGAACCUACAGUAAGAGAAAGUAAUCAACAUAAAUCAGUGUCUCCAAGUGAAGAAAUACCAGCCAAUUUAAUAACGGAGAACCUUUUACAUGAAAAUACAAAUAAAGUAGUAUCACAAAGCAUAUCUGAAAUCAACUUGCAUGUAGAAUCACCACAGGCAAGUUCAAGUCUUGCUGGGAAUGUGGCAGCUGAAUCAACCUCUGAGGAAACAGUUAUGUGUUCAGAGGAAAAACCAAGCAGUUUACCUCCCAAUAUUCCUUCCAGCAGUGUGGCAGAAUCAAUUUCUAAUCUAACAGACUCUAGUGAGAAUCAAAUAUGUGAACGGACAAUAAAGUGUGUGACGUCCAGUGAUAAUCGGGACAAUGUAACUGUUGAAAGUGCAGAGUCCACAUCUAGUGACACUAGUGUUAGUGAAGGAAGAGCUGUAACAAGUGAGUCCAUGACACGGUCUCCACUGCGUCGACGGUUGGUAAGGCCAGCGCCCAGUGAUCGCCGCCCUGAUUCUACAGUUUCCUCUACUGUGGACACUCAAAAUGUGAAUGUUGAUACUUCUGAACAGACAACCAGUGAUAGUGUUGCAAAAGAUGUUUCUAGUUCAUCGGAUGCUGUACCUUCUGUAUAUGGUAAUGUUAAGCCACAAGAGAUUAGAAAUUUAGGUGAAAUUAGUGUCUGCAAAGCAGAAACAUCAAUUAGCCCCCCUAAAAAAAUUAAACUUGUUAGACAAAAAAUUGCAGCAUCCAGUGCUCAGAGAGAUAUUAUAGAUGAAAAACCUGUAUUGACACCUGAUAGUGAACAGUGUCAAUCAACAUCAUCUGAAUAUACCCCAUCAUCAUUACUAGAUACUGCUUUAGAAACCAGUCCAACUUCAAAAGCUGAAAAUGUGGUACAAAACUUGUGCAAUGAAGUUGUAAGCAAUGAUCCACCUGCAAAUCUGACUACAAGUAUAAGUGUGAGUUCAGAAAAGAAAGUUCAAGAAGUUGUAACGCAAGAGAGCUCAUCCCAACCAGUGCCCCCAGAAGUGCAUAAAAAUGAAAGUGAUGACCAGAAAAAAGUUACACCUAUCACAUUUAAUUUAAGCAUUUCAAAAGAGACAUGUUCCACUGAAAGUAAAUCAGAUUGUGUGGAUGAGGGUACUAGUAGUACCAGUAUUGUCAAAGAAGUAUCAGAUUGCACUAAACAAGUACCUAAGUUGACUAUCAAGCUUGGAAAUAUACAAACAGAGGAACCAAAAUCUCCAAUUCCCAAACUGACUAUUAAACCUAUAAAACCUCCAUUAGAAAGUGAAGAUUUCAAAAGGGAGUCGAGUGAGCAAAUUCCAAGUGUAACUAAAUUGAAUAUUAAGCCUAUAUUAAAACCACCGGAAAAGAUUAAUGAUAUUCACAGAAAGUCUAGCAGCAGUGAAAUAUCAGAAUCUGAAUAUUCUGAAAAUGAUGAAAGUAAUAGUACAUCAGAUCAAGCAUCCAACUCAGAUCAAGGCCCAUCUGAUGUUGUUCCAAAAGUAACUAUUAAAGUUGGGAAACCUGGCACUGACAGUGAGGGAAAAUUUUACACAGAACAAAAUGUCCCAAAACUUCUAAUUAAGAGUAUUCCUCAUAACGAAAAUGAGGAACAGGAAUCUGUAUCAAAACUUAAAUUGGUAAUUAGCCAACCUGAUGAUAACCAAUCAGAAAAAAUCCCUAAAUUGACAAUUAAAUCAGUGGCAAAGUCUGAGGGACAGCCCCUUAGCCCCAAAUUGACAAUAAAGCCUCUGAAACCACUUGAAACUGUUAAAAAAGAUUGUUUAACGGAAUCAGCAAUGGACUUUGAAAUUCCUAAAAUAACAAUCAAACCUGUUGUCAAAACUGACACAGAAUCAUCUUCUAAAACACCUAGAAAAUCAACAGUGGUAUGUGACAGCCUUGAACACAUUCCUGUUGUUACGAAACUAAAUAUUAAGCCUAUUUUGAAACCAACCGAGUGUGAAACAGAAAACUUAGAAGAAAGAGUACCUGUGGUUUCAAAAUUAAAUAUAAAACCUAUUGUAAAACCUACUGACCCUUCUGAAACUGCAGAGGAAGUAGAGAGCCAAGUGCCUGUAGUUUCAAAAUUAAACAUUAAGCCUAUUCUGAAACCUGCAGAGGUUGAAGCAUCUGAAGCUAAGGAACAAAAUGUACCUGUGGUUUCGAAAUUAAAUAUAAAACCCAUUUUGAAGCCCUCAGAGACUAGUGAAGCUUCAGAAAGUUUGGGAGAGAAAGUUCCUGUAGUAUCAAAAUUGAAUAUUAAACCUGUAAUUAAACCUAAAGAUAAUGAAAUUCAAUCUAGCGUAGAAGAUAUACCUAAAGUUACAAAAUUAAAUAUAAAGCCCCUGAGGAAUCCUGAAGAAAAAUCUUCAGAUGAAAAAGACUGUGAUGAAUUGAAUGAUGAUACUGAAAGAAAUAGUAUACCUGUUGUUACGAAAAUUAAUAUUAAGCCUAUAAUUAAGCCUGUUGAUGAAGAUACAUCAAAAGAUUCGGAGAACCAAUCAUCAGAAACGGGUAAUUCCAGUGAUGAUAACACUGAUCACAUACCUGUUGUAACCAAGAUAAAUAUUAAGCCUAUUAUAAAACCCAAUGAUACAGAAGAAUUAUCAAAACCGAGUGAAGAAAAUAUUCCUGUUAUAACAAAACUGAAUAUUAAACCUUUAAUCAAACCAGAAGAAAGUAAAUCACCUUCUUCUCCUAAAAAGGAAAAUGUUAAAAUCACCAAAUUGAAUAUAAAGCCUGUACUAAAACCGGAGGAAAUUGAGCAACAGAAAAGUAACAUUGAUAGUGAAGAUGUUUCUACUAAAAACCCACCCCUUGUAAUGAAAAUUAACAUUAAGACUGUGACUGAUAUUCCAUUUAAAGAAACCUUAUCUGAUGAAGAUAGGAAAGUAAACAGCAGUGAUGACAACAGCGAAUAUAAGCCUAAUAAUAUAGAUGAAAAUAUACCGAAAGUGUCCAAGCUGAAUAUAAAACCGAUUGUGAAACCUUCCAAGUCUGAUGAUUUACAAGGAGUUUCUUCUAAUAUGACUCAAGUAGUAAUGAACUGUAAACCAAGUAGUUCUCAUUUAUAUAUGACUGAAACACCAAAACAAAAUUGUGUGUCUAUUGUAAAUGAAGAUCCUAAGUUUGAUAAACAUACAGAGAAGUCAGGUAAUCAGAAUGAACCAUCUACCACUCAUAAGCAAAUUCCUUCAUCAGACAUUGCUAUAGACUUCACAACGAAACCAGCACAGAGUAAAGAAUCUAAUACGAAAUUAGGAGAUAUUUGUAAUCGAACAAUAAUGGAAUCUUUUAACCAAGUUCCAACGAAGCCACAUUCAUCAUUACAGAAUUGUACUCUUUUGAAAAAAUUAUUAGAGACAAAGAAAGAUGGAUUGGAUAAAAGACUGGAUGAAAACAGAAUUAAUGCAAAUCAUUCAAUACCCAUAAGGACAGAAUCAAACAUAAUUAAAGUUGAUAUGAGCUGUGAACAACAUUAUAGAGAAAAAAAUAAUUCUAAAGGUCAUGAAAAUGAAAUCACCAUCCCACCUAGCACAGAUCAAUCAAAAGUUAAUGAUAUUCAUGUAUCUAUAGAACAAGUUCCAGCUGAAAGUAUUCACAAAGAGCCGGGUGAACAUGUCACCAGGCCAUUGGAAAUCAACAUAUCUGAUAAAAUUUCUACUCAAAGCUCUGGACAGGAUUCUCCAAGGAUAAUAUUAAAAAUAAAUAAGACUGACCAUGGUCCUUCAGCAAAAAUUAUUACCGAGGAGCCAAAGGGACCAGGCACUCCACAACAAAAUGAUGGAUCUGAAAAUACUCAGGAAGUUGUAAAUGACAAACAGAGUCAUAAGAAAGUUGUAAAUAGCAGAAAGAAACCCCUAGCAGAUACCCCAACUAUGCCUAUGGGAAAACGAUUACGAAGUUCAAGGAUUGUAGAAAAUACAGAAAAGUCUCCAGUAGUAAAAAAGUACACUGGAAAGCGACCGUCCACUACAGAUACUAGCCCACCACAGAGCAAGGAACCAGAACUGUCAGUGCUAGAAACUAAAAGGUUAAAACUUGGACAAUUAUUGUCCAGUAAAUCUUUAGGUACGCCCGUGCCCGCGAAAGUCACACAGGUGUCCCCUACCAAAACAAAUGUAGAAACUAAACAGGCUGGAAAAAUCGUUAAUCAUUCACUGUUAAUUAAUGAAAAUUGUUCCAAAAAUGGUAAUUCGAAAUUACACAAUAUUUUAUCAAAUCUACAAGCGAAACAGGCUCAAGCGUUAGCCUUUAACGACAUGAACUGUGCAGAGAAGACACCCAUUUUGCCAGAGCUCGAAUCCAAUGCUUCAACGGGAAGUUCAGACGUCGUCGAGGUAGUACCAGUAGAAAAUUCCCAUCCUGAGGUGCAAGAAAUGAUAAUUAAUGAGAACUCGGAGUCUCACGACUUCCCACCGACGUCGGAUGAGCUGUCGCAGGAUCCGCUGGAGGUGGACGCGCCUAAGCCGGCAGAGCCGCCCGUGGAGGCAAUGAGCGCGCCGCCGCCCGUGCAGCUGACGCCGCAGCCCAAGAAGCGCGGCCGCCCACGCAAGCUGCCCGUGUCCGAGGGCGCCAAACCCGCGCCCGUCUUGCCUGUGCCGGCCCUCGAGGAGCGACCGCAACGAUCACUUCGAUUAUCAAGAGAACAACCGCGGCACCCGACCAUCCUGGCGAAGCCCCGCGGGCGGGGUCGAGGGCGAGGGCGGCGCGCGGAGCCCGAUCCACCGCGCGAGGAACCCGCCGUUGAGGCUGCAAACAAGUUCUUUGUGGACGAGAAGCCUGAGGACAUCGACCCCACCAGCUCGCGGAUCAAGCUGCCCCGUAUGACGGAGGCGCUGGACAAGAUGCCGUCCUCGUGUACGACACCGCUGUCGAGCCGGAGGAGAAAUUCGUCGACAUCGGACAUUAAGUUAUUCGAGACAGAGCCCAAAGUGGUGCUGAACAUGCUGCCGAAGAUGGAGGAGCCGGUGACGUCGCCGGAGACACCAGCGCGCGGGACUCGCGGGGGGCGGGGCUCGCGCGGCGGCCGUGGCCGCACGCCUCGCUCGGGGCGCGGCCGCGGCAGGGGCGGCGGCCGCGGCGCCAUGUACAUGAAGGAAACCAUGGGUAUCUACGGGCGAGUCUGCGGCCCGGCUACUACCACCGUGCAGCUCUUCGAGGAGGAGACCUGCAUGAUGGAUGAUAACGCCACACCCGCCAAGCCCUCGCAUUUAUUGGACGAAGACUCUCAGAGCUCAGUGAAAAGCUCUACCAAUGACAGCAGCAAAAUGAAGAAGUCUAAGUUUGCUGACUUGUUUGACAGUAACAAAGUGUGGACGGCAGCUGAUGUCAAGGAGUACAUGUGGCCGCCGCCCGAGACGCCGGAUGUGGAACACCAGGUAAUGAUGAUCCAGGAGCAAGUGGCGAUGUUCCUGGGCGUGAAGAGCUUCAAGCGACGCUACCCGGAGCUGAAGCGGCGGCCCGUCUGUGGCGAAGAGCGCGACUACGUGCUAAGCAAGGGCAUCGUCACUGAAGCCCUGUGCGACCUUGGUAUAACAGCAGUGGACGCGAGCGAAGUCCUGGACAUAAUGCUAUCAGACUACCCUCACAAGUACGAGGAGUAUCGCGCUCACCAGCGGCAGAGACAGCUGGCGGCCGCAGUCGACGAACCCGACACGAAGACCGAGCGCGUGGACCGUGUCGAAAUGAAGCCUGAAGUAAAACCUGUAGAAACCAAGCCUGAACCGCCUAAAGUUGACUUGGAGAAAACUAGACAGGAGGCGCUGGCAGCGGCGAUAGCGUCGGCCAGCGAGUUCAACUCGCGCAUGAACGUGUCCCGGCGCGGCGCGUGCGUGGACCUGCAGUCGCACACGGUGCAGCGCCGCCGCGCGCCGCCGCCGCGCCCGCGCGAGCACGUGCGCCCGCCCGCCGGGUUCUACCCGCACGCGCUGCUGCCCGGCCAGUACCAGCACUCCUACAGGGUGUACACGCCCGACCAGCUGCGGUACUUCCCCCUGAACACAGUGAUGUCGGCGCCGGCCGCGCCCGCGUCUCCGGCGCCCUCGGACUCUGACUCGGAGCCCGACUGGCGCUCCGAUAGCUCCAGCGACGACUCCGCGAGGGACCGCCCCGCCGCCAAGCGAAAGAAGUUAACGAAGACGAAGCGCAGCAGCGGAGCAGAGGCGGUGAAGGAGGAAGUUCGCGACGAGGAGACGUGCCGCGUGUGUAAACUACGACUAGAGGCCAACCGCAAGUACACGCACGAGCGGUUCCUCGUCUGCGCCAACUGCAACGCGAAAUUGCACCCGGGCUGCACGGAGCUGGGCGCGGACACGGUGCGCAAGGCGCGCGAGUACGCGUGGCAGUGUGCCGAGUGCAAGGCGUGCGGCACCUGCGGCGCGCCCGGCGAGGACGACAAGCUGCUGUUCUGCGACCUCUGCGACCGCGGCUUCCACUGCUACUGCGUCGGGCUGCCCGCCGUGCCCGCCGGCCGCUGGCACUGCGUGGAGUGCGCAAUAUGCAAGUCAUGCGGGGCGCGGUCGCCCGGCGGCGGCGGCGGAGGGUCAUCGACCGAGCCCGCCACGUGGCACCACCAGACCCGGCGCGGGCCCGGCGGACACAAGGUCUACUCACACUCGCUCUGCACGCCCUGCGCCAGUAAAACCAAGAGGGGCUCCAACAAAACGUGAACCCGUAGUUCCAUUUACAAGAAGAGUGUAUAUCGAGGGACGCAGAUGACAAAGUACAAAGUUUUUCAAAGUGUUUUCAACGAUCUAUGUGUCAUAUGUUUCUGUUAACUGGCCUUGGUAGCUACUCACGUCACUCAUGCGUGUCGAUGUGGACUAACGAAUCGUUCUGUCGCGUCUGCCUUCACUCUGUCGACAUCCGCUUUUUCUCUGGUUCUCGUAGCAUUUUGGCCCCCGCAGUAUGUUCUCUAUCCCCCAACAGCGUUAUCGGCGCGGGUUUUCACGAUCUCCAAUAACUAGUACCUUAUAAAUAGUCGCAGUUUUAAUCUAUUCUAAUUAAAAGAAAAAAAAAUAAUUUCAGUGUAAUCAUCCUUUCGUACAGUAUUGUGAAAACCCGUCAAAGAAUCAGCACACACCAGUAUUUAAUAAGUUGCAUGCUACACUUUGUUAAUAUAAGUAAUUACUUAUACAUCUUUGAUUGUGUGGGUCAUUGUUUAUUCUAGUUGAUGUUCUCUGUGUAGUCAGUUAAUGUGAAUGCAUCUUAUUAAUUUCAAAAACAUUAUAACAAGCAAUGACCUAUCAAUGUUGAAAAGGACAAUAAAGUAAAAUCAUUUACUAGGGAUGUGAGCACAACUAUAGCUUAUAUAAUUUUGGGUUCAAAUUUAAUACCUUUUACUGUAAUUAAUUUACUUCACUGUCCAAUUUUUUUUUAUUCCUACCGUGUAUUAAAGUCUAAUUGAUGCAAUACGUUCGUAGUUUGGAGUCGCUUUGUCUUUAAGGUAUCCGUCGAAUGUAGUAUUGCCUCAAUUACGUGAGUGACAAUGGUCGUCCUUACAUCGCCAUUGCCGAUCCGACUAACUCAUCCUCCAUCUGUAAAACUAACACGGGCGUAGACUCAUCAAUACCUCCCAUCAUUUUUGAGCGUUCACUAACUUGAUUUGUUAAUUUUAUUACUUGUCUUUCGGCUCUAUACAAACACAUGAUAUACUCUAUUUAUGUAAUACAUUAUUUGUAUAUGCAUACGUUAUCAAAAGUACUCAAACACUACACAAGUCAAGAAUACAACCCUAUAAAUUAAAUUCUCCCUUUAUUAUGAUAUUAUUUUUAUAACAUAAUAUCCAUAUCACUUCCGUACACCCGACACUGUACAGACCAGAGCCAUGAAGAUAAGUAAUAAAGGCCGAGAUCGACUCGGAGCCAAGUGUCGAUCUCAAUACUAAUAGCGUGUUUCUGUGUUCCGGUGCUUGCGCGUACGGUGCGUAUGUGUGUGUGCGUGCGUAGGGCGUAUCGCAUCGGACGCUACUGCCCGUUGUGCGAGCGCUCCUUCAUCGGGCCCAAGGGGACAAUGCAGCUCGUCAUUUGUAAGCUGUGUGAUAGGCAGCACCAUCAAGAGUGCGUUAGGCAGACGGUGUCGGCGCUGAACGUACUG
rnacentral:misc_RNA from 1 species